GACGAACGCUGGCGGCGUGCUUAACACAUGCAAGUCGAACGGAAAGGCCCUGCUUUGGUGGGGUGCGCGAGUGGCGAACGGGGGAGUAACCCUUGGGUAACCAGCCCUUGACUUUGGGAUAACUUCAGGCAACUUGGGCUAAUACCGGCUAGGAGCUCCUGCUGCUUGGUGGGGGCUGGAAAGUUUCGGCGGUUGGGGAUGGACUCGCGGCUUAUCAGCUUGUUGGUGGGGUAGUGGCUUACCAAGGCUUUGACGGGUGGCCGGCCUGAGAGGGUGACCGGCCACAUUGGGACUGGGAUACGGCCCAGCCUCCUACGGGAGGCAGCAGUGGGGAAUAUUGCACAAUGGGCGGAAGCCUGAUGCAGCAACGCCGCGUGCGGGAUGACGGCCUUCGGGUUGUAAACCGCUUUCGCCUGUGACGAAGCGUGAGUGACGGUAAUGGGUAAAGAAGCACCGGCUAACUACGUG
rnacentral:rRNA from 1 species